rnacentral:rRNA from 1 species
AGCUUAUUGUUUUUUUAUAAUAAGUAACUUCUGCCCGGUGCUUCGUGUAAACGGCCGCGGUACUCUGACCGUGCAAAGGUAGCAUAAUAAUUUGCUCUUUAAUUGAGGGCUGGAAUGAAAGGAAUAACGUAGUUUUUUCUGUCUCUUUUUUUUGUUAAAAAUUGCUGUUUUUGUGAAGAAGCAAAAAUUAUAAAAAAAGACAAGAAGACCCUAUUAAGCUUUACUUUUGUUACGGAUAAGGUGGUUUUUUUAAGUUAUCUGCUUAUUAGUUUAAAAGUUUGGUUGGGGUGACCAAAGAAGAAAAAAUCUUCUUUUUUAAUAAAAACAAUUUGUUUUGGUUGGGCCAGCAAUUGCUGAGAAUAAGAAUAAGUUACUAUAGGGAUAACAGCGUAAUUUUUUCAAAGAGUUCAUAUCAAAGAAAAAGAUUGCGACCUCGAUGUUGACUUAUUGUUUCCUUCUAAAAUUUAUAGGCAGAUCUUUAUUUUGAUAUAGAUUUGUUUUAGAAUAAAUAGGUGUAGUAGCUAAAAAGGUCAGUCUGUUCGACUGUUAAAACAAU